UUUGGAAAAGGAAGAGACCUGCAGAUAAAUAACACAAUUAAACAAACAAGUAUUGAAAUAUAAGUGUUCCGCAUUAAGCUUGCUAGUAAGGAAAAUAUCAAGAGAUGGCUUGCUAGCUUUCACCCCUAGAUCACCCCCAUGGAAACUUGAUACAUCAGAGCAAGAAAACAUUCCCCAAUGGUUACAAACCUUCGGUGCAAAAUGACAUUCAUGGGAUCUGAAGACAUCACUAAGAAAUAUCAGGUUCUAUAUGAGUCUGACUUAUUAAAGAACAGAGAGCAAUGAAGAAAAGUGCAGUACAUUAAAUCAAGGCCAAAUGAUACAUUGCAUGCAUCAGCGAG
rnacentral:lncRNA from 1 species